UACGUAGGAUGCGAGCGUUAUCCGGAUUUAUUGGGUUUAAAGGGUGCGUAGGCGGAGUGCCAAGUCAGCGGUAAAAAUUCGGGGCUCAACCCCGUCGUGCCGUUGAAACUGGCGCCCUUGAGUGGGCGAGAAGUAUGCGGAAUGCGUGGUGUAGCGGUGAAAUGCAUAGAUAUCACGCAGAACCCCGAUUGCGAAGGCAGCAUACCGGCGCCCGACUGACGCUGAGGCUCGAAAGCGUGGGGAGCAAACAGG
rnacentral:rRNA from 1 species